rnacentral:lncRNA from 1 species
AAAUGAACAUAGAGGAGAGGAGAUCCACGGGUGGCAGAAAGCUUAUCAGAAUUGGAUGAAAAGCCCAGACCCACAAGAAUCAGCUAAGCAGGUGUGUCAGUCCUGGUUACUGGAAUAUUGAAUUGUGACUGACUGAUUUUGCUGUGAAGAUUCUAUGAAGAGAAUACCAAUUGAAUGACUGCAUUGUUCUUCUAUGGUAGUCUGAAAGGGACAGAAUGAGAGAGGGAGCUGGAGAAAGAAAUGAAUAAACACGAAUGCAUCUGGAGAAUGAGGCAUCUUGGAAUCUGGAAAGUGAGGCAUCCUGGAAGAGAGAUGAAGGUUCAAGCUCCAAGAUGUCCAGAAGCAAACGCAAAGAGGAAGUAAUGAAAUGGAUAUAUGCAAAACUUGUCAAGAUUCUCAUUUGGCUACAGCAAAUAUUUGGGGAGUUGGAAGUUUAGUUGUGUUAAUGAUAUGCUACACCUUCUAUACCUGUAAUGUGCCAAAAAUAACUGAACGCUUUACAUUUCUCUUUAAAUCCAGUAAUAAUCCAUUAAAGAGAUAAAGGUGCCAAUGUGCAGGCAAGUAAACCACAUUGCCAAGUAUACAAGCUAAUACA